CCUACGGGCGGCAGCAGUGGGGAAUUUUGGACAAUGGGGGCAACCCUGAUCCAGCCAUGCCGCGUGCGGGAAGAAGGCCUUCGGGUUGUAAACCGCUUUUGUCAGGGACGAAAAGCUCCGGAGUAAUAUGCCGGAGUGCUGACGGUACCUGAAGAAUAAGCACCGGCUAACUACGUGCCAGCAGCCGCGGUAAUACGUAGGGUGCAAGCGUUAAUCGGAAUUACUGGGCGUAAAGCGUGCGCAGGCGGUUGGGUAAGACAGAUGUGAAAUCCCCGGGCUUAACCUGGGAACUGCAUUUGUGACUGUCCGACUGGAGUACGUCAGAGGGGGGUGGAAUUCCACGUGUAGCAGUGAAAUGCGUAGAUAUGUGGAAGAACACCGAUGGCGAAGGCAGCCCCCUGGGACGCAACUGACGCUCAUGCAC
rnacentral:rRNA from 1 species